GACGAACGCUGGCGGCGUGCUUAACACAUGCAAGUCGAACGGAAAGGCCCUGCUUUUGUGGGGUGCUCGAGUGGCGAACGGGUGAGUAACACGUGAGUAACCUGCCCUUGACUUUGGGAUAACUUCAGGAAACUGGGGCUAAUACCGGAUAGGAGCUCCUGCUGCAUGGUGGGGGUUGGAAAGUUUCGGCGGUUGGGGAUGGACUCGCGGCUUAUCAGCUUGUUGGUGGGGUAGUGGCUUACCAAGGCUUUGACGGGUAGCCGGCCUGAGAGGGUUACCGGCCACAUUGGGACUGAGAUACGGACCAGACUGCUACGGGAGGCAGCAGUGGGGAAUAUUGCGCAAUGGGCGGAAGCCUGAUGCAGCAACGCCGCGUGCGGGAUGACGGCCUUCGGGUUGUAAACCGCUUUCGCCUGUGACGAAGCGUGAGUGACGGUAAUGGGUAAAGAAGCACCGGCUAACUACGUG
rnacentral:rRNA from 1 species